AUACAUUCGUUGCAAAAAGGUGUCGAACGGGCAACCUAGUAGACUUAAUAGGGAAUCUGGUGCAAGUCCAGAACUGUCCCGCAACUGUAAAUGCUGACGAAAUGAAAAUCGCCACUGUACAAUUUGUACGGGAAGGCUUCAAAGUAGGAUGACGCAUAAGUCAGUAGACCUGCCUUUUUGCACCGUCAUUC
rnacentral:ncRNA from 2 species